UACUACUACGUAGACAAAAUCGCGUAUAAACAAGAUCACUGUACAGACAUAAAUAAAAUAAUUCCGUCAUAACUCUUAUCAAAGUCAUACACAUCAGUCGGCGUUGAGCGCACGCGGCGUUCAGUACCGGAAAAAUCGUGACUGGAAAAAUAAUGAGUUAAAUAAACUAUAUGAUGUAGUGUAUGAAAUUGGAUCGGACAAUGUCAAUCGUAAAAUCAUGUGGACUUACUCAAGCGUGGACAUCCCCGGACAUCGUGUCUCUCGGACUGAUCGUAUACGAAUCUACGUCUCCGAGUGCAUCGUCUGCUUCUGUAUUCUCUUCUUCAUUGUCUGCGUUGGACUGCUCUUGUAUCUAUUCUUCCAUCUUUAUAGUACUGUCUCCAGUUCCCGGAAAGUUGCUGAGACCUUAAUCGAAAGUUGAAGUAUGACAAUACAUACACAAAACUAUUGAAUUGAGAACAUUUAUAUAGCGAUGUAAGAAUGUAUCAUACUUUUCAUAAUAGUUUAAUAGCCAUUGAAUCCAUUACGGAUCACAAAGGUAUCAAAAUUACCAGCCUCACUUAACAUCGCUAGAUGGGAAAAUUUACUUUAAGUAGGUUCUAGAAGAUUGUGGAAAUGGACUUCAGGGAUGCGUUCCUGUUAACCAUAGAGCUCUAAGGAGGUCCACCACGAGGAAUUGGUUUUAAAUAAAAUAAAAUAAAAUUCUUAAAAGGCUGGCAACGCACUCGCGAGCCCUCUAGCUUUGAGAGUGUCCAUGGGCGGCGGUAUCACUUAACAUCAGGUGAGCCUCCUGCCCCUGUUCUAUAAAAAAAAUCAACAACUCUAAUAAAAUUCCUUGAUAUAUUUGAUAGUUUGGUAAAAUGGUAAUACUUCUAUACUAAUACUUCUUAUUAAGAAAAUUUAAAAAGAAAUAAUAUUAAAUUAAUGUAAUUAAGAAGCAACGACGAGCUAGUACAGCGCCGACUUUCUCAAUUUAGAGAAGAUAACUAGUUGUAUAAAAUGUGUAUAAAAAUAGACAGUCAUGUGAUAUAUAAUAUAUGUAAAUAGCUAGUUUAUAAUCAUUUGCUACAUAAUUGAAUUGUAUGUUUUAAGUGAUGUUAUUUGUUAAUAAAUAUUUUAAAAUUGUUUGUUUUUGACUA